AGGCUUGUGAGUGCUAAACCCUUGUUUGUGAGUUUUAAAAAAAUAAGGGAAAGGUUUUGGGGGGUUUUGAAGGGGUUAAUUUAUCCAAUUUUAGAGUUCCCCCAAUUUGGGGGGUUUUGGAGGGUUAAAGAUACGAAUUGACCAUAUUACCCUUACAAUAAUACAAAAUUCCAAUUUUAGCCCUAACCUAAUUUCAUCUCAUUCUAACGAUUCAUUUCACUAUAACUGUGCACGCUCUCUCUUCUCCCGACGGCGACGUGAAUGGCGAUCUCAACCUGAACGGCGGCGAACGGCGGCGAGCGGCGGAGAAGGAAGUUGAACAACACAGUUUCCUUCAUCUCUCUCGAUCCUCUUUCUUCUGGUAUCAAUCUCAAACUAUCUUCCAUUCUUUUCCAAUUUCUUUUCCUUUUGCUAUUCAUUCAUGAAUUGAUUUAUGUUUUGUUGUUUGAUUCACAAUUUGAUUUAUGUUUUUGUGUUUGAUUCACAAUUUGAUUUCUGUUUUGCUAUUUGAUUUUUUAGAGUGAAUCACAUCUACUCAAUGGAUACUGUAUAAUCACUAUUAUUAUGAUUUCACUAUUAUUAUAAAUAAAUGUUGCUUGUUUCACAAAAAUGUAUUAUUUUUUGUUGGAUUCAGUUUAAAUGGAUCAUGAAAUGGCUCGUCAAACAAUUAUGGAAUUGAUUAGAUGGAGAGCAAGACUUCGAAUGACACUUGUUCAUGUCAUAUGUCUUGUAGUUUGUUACUAUAGGAUUAAAAUCCAUUCUCAAAGUAGGAUAGUUGAUCGUAGUUUGACUCUUGAGAAGGAUAGAGUACGCAAUAAGAUAAUGAAUAUAGUUGCUACUAGUGAAGGUCGGAAGAUAAUAAGAAUGAGUCCUAAGGCGUUUUUGGACUUAUGCUCUAUAUUACAACAAGAGGGUGGUCUUCUACCAACACAAAGGGUAACCGUAGAGGAACAAGUUGCUAAAACUCUUUACCUUCUAACACACAAUGUUAGAAAUAGAGAGAUUCAAUUCUGGUUCCGACGCUCUGGCGAAACUACUAGUCGUCAUUUUCAUCGGGUGCUCCGAUCAAUAAUUGAGAUAGGGCGUACCUAUCUCAAACAACCAGAUGGAUCACGCAUUCCGAUAGAAAUUCUUGGAAAUCAUCGAUUUUACCCCUACUUUAAAGACUGCGUUGGAGCAAUUGAUUGUACACAUGUUCGUGUAAAAGUACCAUUGGCUGAAGCUUCAAGGUAUCGUGGUAGGAAAAGUUUUCCUACACAAAAUGUGUUGGUCGCAUGUUCUUUUGAUCUUAAGUUCACUUAUGUUUUGCCUGGAUGGGAGGGUACUGCUUCUGAUUCUAGGAUAUUAAAACAUGCACUACAGAGAAGAAAUGGUCUCAAAAUACCUAGAGGUAAGUUUUAUAUUCUUGAUGCUGGAUUCAUGUUGAGAAAGGGGUUAAUUACACCGUUUAGAUCAACACGUUAUCAUUUGAAAGAAUUCUCAGCCAGAAAUCCCCCUAGAACAGCUCAAGAGUUAUUCAACCUUCGACAUUCAUCGUUGCGUAAUGUUGUUGAAAGGGCUUUUGGGAUUGUGAAGAAAAGAUUUCCUAUCAUUUCAAGUGGCGCUGAAGCAACUUAUGGAAUCAAUACUCAAAAUUAUAUUAUCCUUGCAUGUUGCAUUUUGCAUAAUUUCUUGAUGGGGGUAGAUCCUGAUGAAGACUUGAUUGCUGAGGUAGACGAAGAAAUCGCCAAUCAAAGUGCAUCUCAAACUGGUCAUGGCCAUAUAGAAGUAGAUGAGGAUGAAGAAAAUUCAGAUUUAGGUCAAAAUUUUAGAAAUUCUAUACUUGGUGCCAUGUGGACCAAUUACCUAUCAUAUCAUAGUAGAUGAUAAUGAUUUACUUAGCUAUUAUUCAGUGUGUAUGUUUCCAAAUAGCUAUUGCCAAAAAUAUUGGAAACUUGUUUGUUCAAAAUAUUCUAUAAUUUGUAGCUUUAAGUGGAAGAAUGUGUGUUGUUAUUGUUUCUAAAUAUUGGAAACUUGUUUGAGUAACUUGGAUAUUGAUGUUCCUGAUAUAUUGAAUAAACAUACUAUUUGUUGCAACUGUUAUUCCAAGAGUCACCAAAGAAAGAAUCAUGUCUACCUCUAAAAGAGAGACGUGGACAACAGAGAUGAACAAUGCUCUUAUUGAUGCCUUUGUUCAUCAAGUAAGUGCGGGAAACAAACAAGGUGGGACCUUUACAUCAAUAGCAUACACCAAUAUAACAAAGGAGAUGUCCGAAAAGUUUCAAAGACCUUUUGACAAGGAAAAGGUGAAAGAUAGAUGGAAAUUGGUGAAAAGAAAUUUUACUAAAUGUCAUGACAUUUUCAAUGGCAUGAGCGGUUUUGCUUGGAAAUCAGACACAUAUGUGGGAUGCUUUACCUGAAGUUUGGAAAACAUUAAUCGAGGCAAAACCUGAAGCUGCACAAUGGAUGAACAAACCUUUUGCCAAUUAUGACAAAUUGGUUAUUGCUUGUGGAGAUGAAAGGGCCACUGGAGGAAAGGUUAUGAAUGAUGAAGAUAUUCGCCAAAAUCAUCCCCUCAAUCGUGAGUCAGAAUCCAUUGGUACUAGUGACCAGGUGACACUAGAGAGUUUGCAAGAGGGCGGCAAUGAGCAGGAUGUCACUUCUCCUGAGGUCCAAAUUCCCCCAGAACCUAGAGCCAAAAGAUCUAGAAAGUCCCGAGAUGAAGAUGAAGUUGAAGGGAUAAAAGCUGCCCUUUUGAACGUUGCUGAUGCUUUUAGAGAGAGUACUGCAUCUCAUGAUAAGUAUUUUAAAGACAGCAUUGCAGCUUAUGAGAAAGCUAAUUUAAAACUUCCAAUUUCAGAAGAAGAAGUUUUUAAACUUCUUGAGGAAUUGCAAGUGGAUAGUCAUAUGAUCAUUCGGGCAUAUUCUUAUCUUCUAGAGUUUCCUGAGAAGGUUAGAGCUUUACUUGGACUUCCAAAACACUUGCGGAAGAGUUUUCUAUUAGAAUCGAUGGUUGGUCAAGGUUACUCGUCAAGGUAAUUUACCCAUUUUCUCAUCAAGUCAAGGUUAUAUCUUGGCAUUGGUGUAUGAGUAGGUUGAAGAUUGCAGCUUGUUUAUUUUAUUGAUAGUGUUUGUCUAUCACAUAUUAGAACCCACCUAUCAUCAUGCUACUGAUGGUUGUUUCAUCUCUACAUAUUGUUUUGGUCUCUAAUGAGGAUCUUGAAGUCCUAGAUUAUGACAUUAGUAUAGAAUUUUGUAAUCUUGUAUUGGGAUUUAGUUACUAGCAUAUUUGACACAUUUGUCAUUUUUAUGUCAUGUAUUGAUAUAACAGGAUAUGUUGCAUUUUCA